CACGGUUGGUGGCGCACUUCCUGAUCUCGGGCAGUGUAUUGUGCAUGCUUACCGCACCUGGAUACCCGGCCCGCCUGCAAGCGGGCUUUUUUUU
rnacentral:sRNA from 1 species